UACGGAGGGGGCUAGCGUUGUUCGGAAUUACUGGGCGUAAAGCGCACGUAGGCGGCUUUGUAAGUUAGAGGUGAAAGCCCGGGGCUCAACUCCGGAAUUGCCUUUAAGACUGCAUCGCUCGAAUUGUGGAGAGGUAAGUGGAAUUCCGAGUGUAGAGGUGAAAUUCGUAGAUAUUCGGAAGAACACCAGUGGCGAAGGCGACUUACUGGACACAUAUUGACGCUGAGGUGCGAAAAGCGUGGGGAGCGAACGAGG
rnacentral:rRNA from 1 species